rnacentral:rRNA from 1 species
GAUGAACGCUGGCGGCGUGCCUAAUACAUGCAAGUCGAGCGAACAGACGAGGAGCUUGCUCCUCUGACGUUAGCGGCGGACGGGUGAGUAACACGUGGAUAACCUACCUAUAAGACUGGGAUAACUUCGGGAAACCGGAGCUAAUACCGGAUAAUAUGUUGAAUCGCAUGGUUCAACAGUGAAAGACGGUCUUGCUGUCACUUAUAGAUGGAUCCGCGCCGCAUUAGCUAGUUGGUAAGGUAACGGCUUACCAAGGCAACGAUGCGUAGCCGACCUGAGAGGGUGAUCGGCCACACUGGAACUGAGCCACGGUCCAGACUCCUACGGGAGGCAGCAGUAGGGAAUCUUCCGCAAUGGGCGAAAGCCUGACGGAGCAACGCCGCGUGAGUGAAGAAGGUCUUCGGAUCGUAAAACUCUGUUAUUAGGGAAGAACAAAUGUGUAAGUAACUAUGCACGUCUUGACGGUACCUAAUCAGAAAGCCACGGCUAACUACGUG